CGGGAGGCAGCAGUGAGGAAUAUUGGUCAAUGGGCGAGAGCCUGAACCAGCCAAGUAGCGUGCAGGAUGACGGCCCUAUGGGUUGUAAACUGCUUUUAUAAGGGAAUAAAGUGAGCCUCGUGAGGCUUUUUGCAUGUACCUUAUGAAUAAGGACCGGCUAAUUCCGUGCCAGCAGCCGCGGUAAUACGGAAGGUCCGGGCGUUAUCCGGAUUUAUUGGGUUUAAAGGGAGCGUAGGCCGGAGAUUAAGCGUGUUGUGAAAUGUAGAUGCUCAACAUCUGCACUGCAGCGCGAACUGGUUUCCUUGAGUACGCACAAAGUGGGCGGAAUUCGUGGUGUAGCGGUGAAAUGCUUAGAUAUCACGAAGAACUCCGAUUGCGAAAGCAGCUCACUGGAGCGCAACUGACGCUGAAGCUCGAAAGUGCGGGUAUCGAACAGGAUUAGAUACCCUGGUAGUCCGCACGGUAAACGAUGGAUGCCCGCUGUUGGUCUGAAUAGGUCAGCGGCCAAGCGAAAGCAUUAAGCAUCCCACCUGGGGAGUACGCCGGCAACGGUGCAACUCAAAGGAAUUGACGGA
rnacentral:rRNA from 1 species